rnacentral:rRNA from 1 species
GAUGAACGCUGGCGGCGUGCCUAAUACAUGCAAGUCGAGCGAACAGACGAGGAGCUUGCUCCUCUGACGUUAGCGGCGGACGGGUGAGUAACACGUGGAUAACCUACCUAUAAGACUGGGAUAACUUCGGGAAACCGGAGCUAAUACCGGAUAAUAUAUUGAACCGCAUGGUUCAAUAGUGAAAGACGGUUUUGCUGUCACUUAUAGAUGGAUCCGCGCCGCAUUAGCUAGUUGGUAAGGUAACGACUUACCAAGGCAACGAUGCGUAGCCGACCUGAGAGGGUGAUCGGCCACACUGGAACUGAGACACGGUCCAGACUCCUACGGGAGGCAGCAGUAGGGAAUCUUCCGCAAUGGGCGAAAGCCUGACGGAGCAACGCCGCGUGAGUGAUGAAGGUCUUCGGAUCGUAAAACUCUGUUAUUAGGGAAGAACAAAUGUGUAAGUAACUAUGCACGUCUUGACGGUACCUAAUCAGAAAGCCACGGCUAACUACG